UCAUCAUUAUCAUAGGACUUUUUCACAAUUAUACUACUGACGCUUACACCUUUUACUGCAAUUGAUUGUCGACACAAAACUGAAACAAAUUGUAUUUAGUGUGGGUUUAUGGCAAAGUGUUCCAAAAGAAGUGAAGUGUAUUUGUUUUCAAAGUACUUACUAACAUCUUGAGGAAAAUGAAGACUAGAGGGACUAUGAUCUUGAUUAUUUUGAUUGGCACCAUAUGUGUUGACAUGGUGUUCACACAUGAGCCAGGACGAGGUCAUCAUGGCCAUCAUCGUCCCCUAGGAGGGAGAGGGGGACCCCAUCACAGGAGGCCAACGGGAAGGCCUCCAUCAAGACAUCCGUUUGGAGGCCCUCCCAGUGCGAGACCUUCGAGGCCUUCGGGACAUCCCAUAAGGAGAGGAGCCGAAGCAGAAAUUUCCAGGUGUCUUCUGGAAGAUGUAUCAUCUAUUCUAACUUCCCGAUUAAGCGCUAAGACCGGAAAAGACAACUUCGCCGCGUACUUCGCCGGCUGCCAACGGAACGGAAGCUACAAGUGUCAUCAGAAGUGGCCAGCAGUUGGUUUAUCGUGGCAAUCAGAUCCUCAAGGACGCGUAAUGGAGAACACUUUGACAAGGGGAAAGAGUCAGUGUUCGCGUGAAAGAGAUUUCAGGUUUGCCCUGAUAUGCACUCGAGGUUCAAGAAAGUUGCAAUGUAAGCGAGGAACCAUUCUUUCCUUUGUGGACAUUAGAACAACUCACAUCCACACCCCUGACCACAAGUGCAGUCGUUACAGAAGAAACAAUGGCAACGCUACGGUGGCACGUGAUCGUCACUGUACCGUGACUAAGAUGAUCGAAGAAUUACGCAGCCGUUGCCAAGGGAGACAAGAAUGCUGGAUAAAACUCAAUGAAAGACUUAUCGGGAAAGCUUGCAUCAGAGAGGUGACAUUCUUACGGGUGAAUUACACUUGUGAACAAAGAACAAGUGAAUUGGUUGAAAGUUCUGAGAGACUGGACCGUCCAACGUAUCCGGAUUACCUUGACAAGCUAUGCCCCGAGACUUACGACGAAGAAUCAGGAGACGAAAUCAGCGAUGACGACAUCAGUGAUGAUGGUGACGACAACACUUAUGACGACUACGAUGGUGAUGAUGGCUGGAGUGAUAAUGAUGAUGAGGACUACUGCAGGGGAUAUAACUAAGAUGCUCGUGAUAUUCUCGAAGAUGAAAUGGCUCAUAUGAAGGGUUUACUGUUCACACUGUUUGAGCAGAAGAGAGGAAAAAAUCGCCGCCCACGGUAUAACUGGAUUAAACAACCUGACUUGUACAACGAAUUCAAAUUUAACCCUCCUUCAGUUUGCCCAGAGAAUCUCCCAUUACUGUCGAAUUGCAACCAGAACCUGUGCAAGAACGUGAAGUGUGACAAUGAAAGGAAUUUCAGCUGCAGGGUCAACCCAUGUGGAACUUGCAGACCCGAGUGUUACGAUGUGAAAGGACACAAAGUGCAGACUCCUCGAGCCUUAACAAGGUGCGAGUAUCAGCGUAUAGAAAUGCGACGCCAUAGUCUUUACAGUUACGUUCCGAGAUGUAAUGAAAAUGGAAGCUUUGCUGAAAUUCAGUGUUAGCAUGAGGUCAAGAAAUGUUGGUGUGUUGACGAAGAAGGAAGAGAGAGGAACGGUACAAGACAGAGAGGAGCACCCUCGAAUUGUAGCGAAGGGG
rnacentral:misc_RNA from 1 species